UGGGGAAUAUUGCACAAUGGGCGAAAGCCUGAUGCAGCCAUGCCGCGUGUAUGAAGAAGGCCUUCGGGUUGUAAAGUACUUUCAGAGGGGAGGAAGGCGAUGUGGUUAAUAACCGCGUCGAUUGACGUUACCCGCAGAAGAAGCACCGGCUAACUCCGUGCCAGCAGCCGCGGUAAUACGGAGGGUGCAAGCGUUAAUCGGAAUUACUGGGCGUAAAGCGCACGCAGGCGGUCUGUCAAGUCGGAUGUGAAAUCCCCGGGCUCAACCUGGGAACUGCAUCCGAAACUGGCAGGCUUGAGUCUCGUAGAGGGGGGUAGAAUUCCAGGUGUAGCGGUGAAAUGCGUAGAGAUCUGGAGGAAUACCGGUGGCGAAGGCGGCCCCCUGGACGAAGACUGACGCUCAGGUGCGAAAGCGUGGGGAGCAAACA
rnacentral:rRNA from 1 species